AUACCUACCUGGCAGGGGAGAUACCAUGAACACGAAGGUGGUUUUCCCCGGGCCGGGCUUCUCCAUUACACUCAGGAUGUGCUGAGCCCUGCGACUUCCCCAAAUGUGGGAAACUCGCCUGCAUUAUUUGUGGUAGUGGGGGACUACCGUGCUCUCCCUUG